CGGCGGAGCUCCUGCCGCCGCCGCAGCCGCUGCCGCCGCAGCGAAGAGGCCAUGUUGUGUGGUGUGUGGGGCGGGGGGAGGAGGAGGAGGGAGUAAAGCCUAGAGAGGAGACGGGAGAGACACCACACACACGGCACAAGAUGGCCGGAGAGGCAGCAGCACCUCGAGCUGUCAGGCGUUCCGCUGCGGCCGCGGGGCCCACCAGGCGGCGGGGAGCUACGCCCGGACGGCCCGCAGGCCCGUGGGAGUGGGGCGGCCGCGGCUGAGGCGAGGCGGGCUGCGCGCGUCGGCGUCAGAGCCCGCGGCAGAGGCUCCCAGGGCGGCCGGGCCCACGACGCCGAAAGCGCCGCUGCGGUUGCCGCCUCGGAGGCUUCCCCGGGCCCCGGCGGCUGGACCCGGCGCGGGCGGGAGGCUCGGGCGGGCGGUCCGGCCCGGGACUCGGACUUGGGCGACCAGGAGGUGCCGGCUGCCGCGCUCGGACCCGGUUCUCCAACGGAGGAGCUUUUUAACCUCUUUCCGGUGAGGUGGGAACUCAUCUUCAUGAUCGAAUUUAAAAGAACAAUGGAACCCUGACUACGUUUCAACAAAAAUAAAACUUGUUUUUUUCCCUCCUAUUGGGUGUUG
rnacentral:lncRNA from 1 species